UACGUAGGGUGCGAGCGUUGUCCGGAAUUAUUGGGCGUAAAGGGCUCGUAGGCGGUUUGGCGCGUCGGGAGUGAAAACACACAGCUUAACUGUGUGCUUGCUUCCGAUACGGGCAGACUAGAGGUAUGCAGGGGAGAACGGAAUUCCUGGUGUAGCGGUGAAAUGCGCAGAUAUCAGGAGGAACACCGGUGGCGAAGGCGGUUCUCUGGGCAUUACCUGACGCUGAGGAGCGAAAGUGUGGGGAGCGAACAGG
rnacentral:rRNA from 1 species